rnacentral:rRNA from 1 species
UAUUAUUAAAUGAUACAAUUUUUAUUUACUUGAGUAGUAUUAGUUAUGAUCUUUAAACUUAAAGAAUUUGGCGGCAUUUUAGUCUGUUUAGAGGAAUCUGUCCCGUUAUCGAUAUUCCGCGUUAAAACUUACUUAACAUUAGGUUUAUAUACCGCCGUUUAAUUAAUGAGAAUCCUUAUUUUAGGUUUAAAUAAUUUUCUGAUUACUUGUGGUGAGUGUUAUUUCAGGUCAAGGUUUAAUUAAUGGUUAAGAGGAGAUGGAUUACAAUAAAUUUUAGUUUAAUUAUGGAUUAUUUUUUGUAAUUUUGAUAUGAAGGUGGAUUUAAUAGUAAUUUUGCUUAGUAUGGUUUGAUGAUUUUAGCUCUAAAAUGUGUACACAUCGCCCGUCACUCUCGUUUAUUUGAUGAG